rnacentral:rRNA from 1 species
AGCAGCCGCGGUAAUUCCAGCUCCAAUAGCGUAUAUUAAAGUUGUUGCAGUUAAAAAGCUCGUAGUUGAAUUUCGGGAUCAAUAUGCUGGUCGCGCCUUUGGUACGUACUGGUAUUAUUGGUUUCUCCUUUCUGAUGAAUCACGAUGUCAUUAAUUUGGUGUCAUGGGGAAUCAGGACUGUUACUUUGAAAAAUUGAGUGUUUAAAGCAGGCUUACGCUUGAAUACAUUAGCAUGGAAUAAUGAAAUAGGACGUUUAAUUCUAUUUGUGGUUUCUAGGAUUGACGUAAUGAUUAAUGGGAUAGUUGGGGCAUUAGUAUUCAAUUGUCAGA